AUUCGCCUUUUUUCCAAAAUUCUGGGGACCAAAACGCACGCAGGCGGUUUGUUAACCAGAUGUGGAUUUAAAAGGGAGAAGCGGGGAACUGCAUCUGAACUGGCCGCAAGAAAAAGCAAAAGAGGGGGGCAGAAUUCCAGGUGAAGCGGCGAAAUGCGGAGGAGAUCUGGAGGAAUACCGUUGCUCAAGGCGGCCCCCUGGACGAAGACUGACGCUCAGGUGCGAAAGCGUGGGGCAUCACAGGAUUAAAUACCCUGGUGAUCCACGCCCUAAACGAUGUCCACUUGGAGGUCGUGCCCUUGAGGCGUGGCUUCCGGAGCUAACUCGUUAAGUCGACCGCCUGGGGAGUACGGCCGCAAGGUUAAAACUGAAAUGAAUUGACUGGGGCCCGCCAAGCGGUGGAGCUUGAGUUCUAGUUCGAUGCAACGCGAACAACCCUACCUGCUCUUGACUCCAUGGAAGUUUUCGAGAUGAUAAGGUGCCUUCCGGAACCGUGAGACUGUUUUGCAUGCCUGU
rnacentral:rRNA from 1 species